rnacentral:lncRNA from 1 species
UUUUCAGCCGUAGAUCCUAUGUCCUAUGGUCCUAAGAGUUAGCAGCCGGGGUUGAUUAGACAAAGAAGCCAACCACCGAUGCCCCUUGGAGGUGCUGAUGGCUGAUGCAGAACUGCUGCCCUCCCUACGACAAAACCUCGUCUCAGUGCCCUACCCUGUAAGGAAGCCGAUGGCCAUGUGCGUGACUGUAAUGAGCCAACGAAAAUAUUUUGUUCAUAGUCGUAAUGGAGCAAGUAAAAAUACUUGCUUGGGAAAUGGUUUGCUUGGGAAAUGGCAAUUAUACCCUGCACUAUUAAUUACUAUUGUAACAAGGAUCAUAGUUUGCUUGGGAAAUGGGAUCCUUCUCUGUGUUAACUUGAACUGAUGGUUUUUUUUCCUCUUUAAAGAUAUGUCACAGUAUUGUCGCUGCAAUGGUUAGUAUUCUUCUCCACUAUUAGCCAUUUACUGCAUUGUUAUUUCUUUUUGCUCAGCAGACCUCUGAAUCAUAGUUUGGUUAUUUUUCGAACCAAAAUGAUAUCUCUCCUGUUAACUUAUAUAUGCAGCUUGCAACCCAGUUCUAGAGACUUACUUACCCUUCUGUAGACUAUACUUGAACCGAUGCCUUACUUUGUUUUGUUGAGAACAAAACUUGGACUUAUUAGUUUAUUUCCCCUCUGUUCUUGUGCUUUGGAAUGAAAUACAACAGGACACGACAUCUCAUUUCAAAUUUGCUAUUUUUGAAUGUGAUUUAUUAGUUGUUCUUUGGAAUGCAUGUGUUUGUUGCUUUGUAAUGAAAUAUAAUUGAGACUUAUUGGUUGCUAUGAUUUUUGAGGUGCUUAUAACUAGUGCACUAAUUGAAGGCAAGCUGCUCCUUGUCAAUUUCUUCAUUGGUGUUUAUAUAGCAUUACUAUGAAGGCAAGCUGCUCCUUAUCAUAUUCCUCUGAUGUUGCCAAAAACCUGUAUGUUGGUUGGUAGAUGGCAGAACCCAAUGACUUGGAUAUUUCCUUCAACAAGAUAAUCAAUUAUAUGAGCUUCUUAUGUUAUAUCGAGUACCAAAUAGGUUUACUUUGAGUAUGUUAGUGGGACAUGUAAUAUGAAAUUGCUAAUUAGAAAGUGACUACUUAAAUAAUUAGCAAGUGACAUAGCAGAUCACCUUUGCCUUUUGUUGCUGC